UCAGGGGGUGCAAACGUUGCUCGGAAUCAUUGGGCGUAAAGCGCACGUAGGCGGUUCGUUAUGUCGGAUGUGAAAGCCCUUGGCUUAACCGAGGAAGUGCAUCCGAAACUGGCGAGCUAGAGUACGAAAGAGGAUCGCGGAAUUCCCGGUGUAGAGGUGAAAUUCGUAGAUAUCGGGAGGAACACCGGUGGCGAAGGCGGCGAUCUGGGUCGAUACUGACGCUGAGGUGCGAAAGCGUGGGGAGCAAACAGG
rnacentral:rRNA from 1 species